GGGAAAGAAGGAGAGACGGAGGUGGGAGAGGGGAGGGAGGAAGUCCCCCCUCGUAGACGGACAGGACAAGCUCUAGGAAGGCUCACUGGAAAUGAAAUGAGAACUCUGAGUCACCGCGCUGAGCGGUAACACUCUAGACACCCAAUAAAUGCGGACAGAGACUCGAAUGCGGAUCCACAGAGGUCAGCCUCCGCCUGACAAACACCAGGCAUCAUUCAGCACACAGGUAGCGACUUGAUACACUCCUGACACGGAAAAAAAUACGUUGCCUACACCCGAAAGCCCUCAUAUAUCACAGCCCAGUUAAAGGAGAAAGAAGCACAAAUAACGAAUUGAAAAGCUACAUAUAACCUACUGUCCAACGGCCACAGAAAUCAGAGUAAGGAAGUCCCUGGGUUUGGUUUACUUUUUUCUUCAGUGCAACAAUAUAGUUCUUAAGCAGGUAAAUCACACCCCGGUGUAUUCAGUCACUUCAUUUUUGUUAAUAGGGCUGGCUGUGGGCAUGCAGAAGUUGAGCAAGCAGGAUGCCCACCCUGCUGUGUGUUGUUGGCAGUCUGUUUUACUCUUCAUAAAAAUAAAUGCAUUUCACGCUUCUCACUUGAAUCAAGAACAGCCAUAUUGUAUGCAUUUCAAUUAGUGGGUGUAUUAUUUAUGUUAUAUUUCCUGAAACACGAGUGGCAGUGCUUCUGAUGCUUAUUUUAAUCAGUGUGCCAAUUCUGAUGCAGCCACUGUCCCUUUCUGAAAGUUUUAUUUGCAAAUUUAUUAAAAACCAUAUUUUGUUUCUAAGUAACUGCAGUAAUACAGCACAAAAGAAGCAGUAUCAGAGGAGAUGGGACUACACACAGAUAAACAAAUAUACUUCAGUGGCACCCAGUUUGUAGAGUUUCACCUGAAUAGAAAAAUUAAUUUUUUAAAAAUAAAACAUACACAGACUUCUGCAACACAAAUAUAAGGAAUAAAGAAAUCAAAGCCUGCACAGUUAAUCUACAUAACCAGUAUCAGAAACAAACCUUGGGAGGAGACACACUUUUGUGUAGAACCUAGAGCUGGGAGAGUGACUUCGUGGACCACUGUCUGUCCAUCUUUUCCAAUAUUAUUUGCUGAUUGAACAAAAGGUAUUUUCAUACCCCAUGAAUCUUCAAACACUGCAAUGAGUUCUCUGGGAGAAUAUCUGUUUCCCUGAUAUAAGCCAAAUAUUGCUGUACUGGUCAAUUGAUGCAGAGCUGAUCAGUGACUUGGGAUAUUCACGUCAACAGAAAUACAUCAGUUCUUCUGCAAACUGACCUUCCUAUGCAGAAGAUUGAAUUUGCAACUUGG